AGAGCUUUUCAGCCUUUUGGGGAAGCUGAAGUGUAGUGUGUGUGUGUUCUUACCAGUUUCUUAUCUGAUAGGUGGCUGCAAGGAUUUGCUGUUAAAUAGCAUUAUGGAGACAGGAGAUGCUUUGGGAGCUUGCUGCAGCCACUUCACGCGUGGCCCUGGUACCACAGUACCUCCUGGUGCGCUGUUAGCCCU
rnacentral:snRNA from 1 species